GACGGGGGGAACCAGUGUUAGUCGUAUUGAUUGGGCGUAAAGGGUGUGUAGACCGCUUUUUUGAACCCGUUAUAAAUCCCACCUCAAUGGUGGAAGUAGCGUUGGUGAUCGUUAGGCUAGAGUUAGGGGGAGGGGGGCGGUACUUCCUAUUUAGGUUUGAAAGCCUGGGAGAUAGGUGGGACCCUCAUUGGCGAAGGCGGCUUUCCCAUCCCUGACUGACGUUGAGGCACGGAGGCGUGGGGAGCAAACGGG
rnacentral:rRNA from 1 species